GGGAUUGCCUUAGUAACGGCGAGUGAAGCGGCAAAAGCUCAAAUUUGAAAUCUGGCACCUUCGGUGUCCGAGUUGUAAUUUGAAGAAGGUAACUUUGGAGUUGGCUCUUGUCUAUGUUCCUUGGAACAGGACGUCACAGAGGGUGAGAAUCCCGUGCGAUGAGAUGCCCAAUUCUAUGUAAAGUGCUUUCGAAGAGUCGAGUUGUUUGGGAAUGCAGCUCUAAGUGGGUGGUAAAUUCCAUCUAAAGCUAAAUAUUGGCGAGAGACCGAUAGCGAACAAGUACAGUGAUGGAAAGAUGAAAAGAACUUUGAAAAGAGAGUGAAAAAGUACGUGAAAUUGUUGAAAGGGAAGGGCUUGAGAUCAGACUUGGUAUUUUGCGAUCCUUUCCUUCUUGGUUGGGUUCCUCGCAGCUUACUGGGCCAGCAUCGGUUUGGAUGGUAGGAUAAUGACUAAGGAAUGUGGCUCUACUUCGGUGGAGUGUUAUAGCCUUGGUUGAUACUGCCUGUCUAGACCGAGGACUGCGUCUUUGACUAGGAGUGGCAUAUUG
rnacentral:rRNA from 1 species